GGAUCGAUGAUGAGUCCCCAAAAAAACAUUCCUUGGAAAAUCUGAACAAAAUGAGUGAAACCCACUACCGUCUCUCUCAUCGGAUCUGAGGUCC
ensembl:snoRNA SNORD116 Small nucleolar RNA SNORD116